GGUAGUUGGCUACUCAUUAAUGAAAAUUAAUUAUUUAAUUUAGCAGUCGUUAGCCUGUGAUUGACAGACUACUUUUGUCGUUUGCCGGAUUAAAUUAAUUCUUUAAUGGAUUUUUUUAAUAUUGGGAGACAAAAACACGGAAGUUGGCUCACAAAAAAAAAAUUCAACGAUUUAAGUUCGACAAUAGCUCAAUCGAUAGGAAAUCGUUUGCCGGUGAUUGACAGGUGAUUGCCAGACUCCAACAAACGAAUCCUACACCCAAAAAUUGAAAAAAACUAUUUGGGGACAUAAAAAUGGCGUUGAGUCCGGAUUACCCCGGAGUGGGGGGAAAUCGCAUCAUGAUAACUACCAUCUUAUUUCUUGUGGGGUGCAGCCAGGUGGAUUUACUUUUUCGAGCACUACCAAAGCAUUUGCCGGAAUUAAUUCAUUAACGUAUGUGAAAUUUGCAUGGAUACAAAACCAUUCUGUGGAUUGAAUUGUUACUGACGGCGUUCUCCUGCCAGUGGAAUGUUCUGUGAUCUAAAGUUUAAAUGUUGUGCCUGGAAAUGAGUAUGCCACAAGGUCAGUGGAAAAAGCGAACGAGCUACGACAAAAUAACCUGCAAGUACGUGGCAUCGAGAAAUUUCCAUGUUUCAAGCAGGGGAAUUGGUAGCUGGAAUCGAGAUGGGGGAUGAUCGAAUUAUCCACGUUCUCCAAACCUCCAGUUUUGAUUGUAUUCUAAAUGCAUUGUUCUGUAUCGCAACGAAUGACGCUAAUUACGCGGCGUUCAUUAAGAAUACACAUAACGUCCCUAUGGGGAACUUGCAUGAUUUUUUUUAAUUGUUUUUUUUACAUAGUUAAUGGUCCUAAUAAUAGAUUUUUCAUGAAAAAACAUUAAAAAAAUCGUUUACCAAUUAAUUAUUGAUUGUUCAAAAAGUGAAAUUUUCAAAUGCUCCAAAAGUUGUUAUGCCGUCAUCAGGCGGGUCCUAUACUUCCGCAUGUGGCGCCCUCUACCGGAUCAUAGAUUCCUACCGCCGGUAUAUCAAAUUUACCUAACCUUAACUGAUUAAACCUAUUUAAACUGAUUUAACCGUAACUGAUUAAAGCACUCACAAAUGCUCCAAAAUGUCAAAUGACAGUAAAAAAGUGAAAAAACAACUAUACAAAUAUUGUUUUGUACCAUCGUGUGCGAACUCAACUGUGACAAUACCGAAUAAAGUGUUUAUAACAGUUCCUGCGUGCAAAAAUAUUCGAAAAUUGUGGUGUGAAGCCGCAGGUUAUUCUCGCCCAUUACUGGGCAAAAGUGACAUUUGCGAAGAUCAUCUCAAAUUAGAAGACGAUUUGGAAAAUUAUAUGCGGUGGAAGAUGACAAAUUGUCCAAAAAAAUUAAAAGCAGGCGCCUAUCCUAGAUUCUUUCCAUCUCAAACGGUUGCUGAGAGUCAAUCAACAUCCCAACCACACUCAACUACAUCCACACAAUGCUCAUCAGUACAGUCCAUCGGCUCUGAAAUGAAAUGUGCGGAGGAAAAGAAAUUGAAGUGCCCAGAUUCAAAGUAGCGGAACAACCCUGAUGAUUCCAUCAAUUCUCCAGCAAAACAAGAAAGUACUGCUGGCAACAUCCAUGGAACCACCAGUGCAAACCCGAGUCACCGUAUACUCAAGCUAGAUCGCGGUAUACAAACAUCAAUAGUCACUUCCAAUAAAAACAUCUAGGUCAAGCCAACAUGUAAGCAUAAAGGUACAACUUGUCGAUUUCUAGAUAUUCCCAGCGUUCCCAGUACUUCUUUCGUUGGAAACCCACUGCCACCCAGUGUAUCCGAGGCCUUACUGGAUGGAGUUCUGACAAGUUGUAGUGGAAAUAAUUCGAGCCCCCAAAAGUCCGUUUUAAAUUCCUCAGAGAGUAAAAUUGAGAGCAGCGUUUCCAUAAAUUCAGCACUCGAUGUAAUUGGCAGUGAUAUUCUCAAUACUAGUAGCGCACCCUCUACUAGUAAUCGCAGCCUAAAACUGCAUCAUUUAAAAAUGCAUAUUUAGGAGAAUGUCACGAAAUUAAUUAUUGAGGAUGAUCCCCUGUUAAUGAUCGGGAUACCGGAAAGUUCGAUGUAUGUAAUUGAUGAAUUAAUUUUGGUAACAAAUAUUCCUCGUAAAUAUAUAUAUAUAUAUAUAGUACGAUGAAAAAAAUUCGUCAGAAAGUUCCUUAUGCAAUCCUUGCAUAUGAUUUUCGAUUAAGCGAAUCGCAAAUAUCGAGAAUUUUUAAAAAUACUGUGACAAAAAUGGCAGAGAUACUCAAAGAGUUGGUAGUCUGGCCAUCAAAAGAAGAAAUAGUCCUAAAUCUUCCAAUUCAAUUUCAAUUAAAAUAUGGACAAGUUCAAUCGAUAAUUGAUUGUGUCGAAAUCCAAAUAGAGCAUUUAACUCAUGCAGUACACCAGGCUGCAACAUGGUCAGACUAUAAGAAGUUGUAACGAGGCCCUUUUUGUUGGCUCUCCCCUGUCCCCUAAUAAUAACUUUUUGUUAGGUUUAAGUAAAAUAAGCAAAAGGAAUAAACGAGGUUAUAAAACCUGUCAUCGUUGGUUCCCACUCUCGAAACCUUCCUUCCCUUUGCUCCCCCCCCCUCCCUACACCAUCACGCCUGCAGAAACACCAUCGCUGCAGAGAAGAAGAAAACCCCCCAUUAAGACGUCACUCACCACGUGAUCCCGGAAGAGAAAGAAAUCCCGGAACGACGAAUAAUUAGGACGAAGACAUCCGAUAACGAGUGUCCCCGAUUGACCCCGAUUAUCGGUGAUAAUCGGGGAAGAAGAAUAACGAGGAUGAGGAAGCCAACACUCGCUAUACAGCUGCCCCGUGCGUAAGAGAUUGUAUUGGAAAAUAUCCGGAGAAUAUUCUGAGGUGAUAAUUUGAGGAGAUUGUUGGAGUGAUUUUUGGAGUUUGGAGAGCUUAGUUGUGGAAGAAAAGCCGGGAGAAACGAUCAGGGAGGAACGGUUCUGGUGGAGUCAUUGUCGGAGGAGUUCCCCGUGUCUUCUUGGAAGGAUUAGAGUAGGCGCCAUCCCCGUGAGUACCCUUCAGUACCUUUCCCGCCCCAACAAAUAUCCACGGAACCCCUGUAAUAAUAUUUCCCCCCAACGGUGAGCCUCUAAAUUUAAUAAUUAUUAGUUCCUGUGUGCAGGAAUAUUGCUAGUGCAAUAAUAAUCCCCCUAGUGUUCAGUGAUCUUUCAAUCGUUCCCCUAACUUCUCCCCUCUUUUCAAUUAUUUAACUUUCCCUCUUUCUUUUGUUCUUUUUCUUUAUAUUCUUUUCCUGAUUAUUAUUAUUUACCGGUGUGUCGCAAGCUGGCUGGCCUUACCCCCCACCCUUGAUUAAUUGAUAAGAAAAGGCCUGGAAUUAUACUGUGAGAAUUGUUACAUUUAAACGUCCAACUAUUUAUUAGAAUAUACGGUAUUUCUCUAUCAUAUCCUACCCGAGUAAUUAUUCACCUCCCCCCCAUUAUCAUUUCAGGUCCCUCCCCCAGUAAAUUCUUGAAUAAAAUUAUUGAAUUCGUAAAUUACCCAUUUAUCCCCUCAACAUCGUGUCUUCACCGGGAAUUAAUAUA